rnacentral:rRNA from 1 species
GUGUCAGCCGCCGCGGUAAUACGUAGGGUGCAAGCGUUAAUCGGAAUUACUGGGCGUAAAGCGUGCGCAGGCGGUUCGGAAAGAAAGAUGUGAAAUCCCAGAGCUUAACUUUGGAACUGCAUUUUUAACUACCGAGCUAGAGUGUGUCAGAGGGAGGUGGAAUUCCGCGUGUAGCAGUGAAAUGCGUAGAUAUGCGGAGGAACACCGAUGGCGAAGGCAGCCUCCUGGGAUAACACUGACGCUCAUGCACGAAAGCGUGGGGAGCAAACAGGAUUAGAAACCCCCGUAGUCC